UCGGGAGGGCGCUUACCACUUUGUGAUUCAUGACUGGGGUGAAGUCGUAACAAGGUAACCGUAGGGGAACCUGCGGUUGGAUCACCUCCUUACCUGAAAGAAGC
rnacentral:rRNA from 1 species